rnacentral:rRNA from 1 species
UGGGGAAUAUUGGACAAUGGGCGCAAGCCUGAUCCAGCGACGCCGCGUGUGUGAAGAAGGCCUGCGGGUUGUAAAGCACUUUCGAUGGGAACGAAAUGUGCCGGGUUAAUACCCCGGUAAGCUGACGUUACUCAAUGAAGAAGCACCGGCUAACUCUGUGCCAGCAGCCGCGGUAAUACAGAGGGUGCGAGCGUUAAUCGGAAUUACUGGGCGUAAAGCGCACGUAGGUGGCGACGUAAGUCGGGUGUGAAAGCCCCGGGCUCAACCUGGGAACUUGCAUUCGAGACUGCAUUGCUGGAGUACGGAAGAGGAGGGCGGAAUUCCCGGUGUAGCGGUGAAAUGCGUAGAUAUCGGGAGGAACAUCAGUGGCGAAGGCGGCCCUCUGGUCCAGUACUGACACUCAAGUGCGAAAGCGUGGGGAGCAAACAGGAUUAGAU